GGCGUGGUGGCCGAGUGGCUAGGCUGAGGUCUGCAAAACCUCCUACACCGGUUCAAUUCCGGUCCGCGCCUCCA
rnacentral:tRNA from 1 species